rnacentral:rRNA from 1 species
UACGAAGGGGGCUAGCGUUGCUCGGAAUCACUGGGCGUAAAGGGUGCGUAGGCGGGUCUUUUAAGUCAGGGGUGAAAUCCCGGAGCUCAACUCCGGAACUGCCUUUGAUACUGGGGAUCUUGAGUUCAAGAGAGGUGAGUGGAACUGCGAGUGUAGAGGUGAAAUUCGUAGAUAUUCGCAAGAACACCAGUGGCGAAGGCGACUCACUGGCUCGAUACUGACGCUGAGGUGCGAAAGCGUGGGGAGCAAACAGG